rnacentral:lncRNA from 1 species
AAGCAAUUUGCUCAUAGCCAUAGCUUUCUUGUGAAAGUAGGAUAUUAACCCAGGUGUCUUGGUGCUGGAGAACAGAACUGGCCAGAGUCCAUCCUGUCUCCCACCGGCAUCCCAUUACGAAAUGAACACAGAAAAGGCAGGUCUGCAAUGCCAACAUCUAGUAUCUAUCCCAAAGACCAGGGAGAAAGGAAGGAAAGAUUCUGGUUCUGUCCUCUUCCCCAAGGCAAGGCUGGCUGCCCUACCAACAGAGGCAAAGAGAAGAGUGUGCAAGGCUGGCUGCCCUCCCAACAGAGGCAAAGAGGAGUGUGUGUUGAAAUAUCCAUUGAAUCCCUGAGACAACUGGAUCCUGGCCCAUUGAAUCAUAAACUCAAAUCUCACAUCAUAACCCCAAAUGACCUGUUACUCACCAUGUGGCCCAGCUGUCUUCAAACUCACCAGCCUCCUGCCUUAGCCUUCUAAAUGCUUGGAUUACAGGCAUGACCCACCAUAACUGGCUUUGUUUUAGUUUCAGAGAAGAUGAAACUGAUGUGCGUCAAAAAGUUAUGGAGGCUGGGAAGACCUAGAAUGUGGCAUCACUAUUUGCUGAAAUUUUUAAUAUAAUGCCUCUUAGCCUGGUUUGGAGAAAACGUCACAGAGAGGCACCAUUUGUUGUGGUUUUACAUGAAAAUUUUCUGACCCUGAACCUGGUUUGAUGGAAAUCAUUUGCUGAGGUAAUUAUCUCAAAUUAACUACCAAGCUGAUGAAUCGCUUACUACUUAAAAGCUGUGAUGGGGAGAGGAGUAAUUGAGAGCGGCCUUGUUGGGAGGGGAUGUGGACAUUUUUUUUUUCAGCAGCCAAUCAACUUAGAGGUUUUUUUUUGUUUUGUUUUGUUUUGUUUUUGUCUUGUUUUUUUUUCUGUGUAGAAUCUGAAUGUAUUGUCACAAGGUGAACACCAG